GGACCGAUAGCUCAGUUGGAUAGAGCAUCUGCCUUCUAAGCAGAGGGUCGCAGGUUCGAGUCCUGCUCGGUCCG
rnacentral:tRNA from 1 species